ACAUGGAUUGUGCCCACACAUCUCAAUCUGGAGGUAGAUGCAUUGAAAGGUCCGACUGACGGUCAGUCUAGAUGUUGCCAUGCAUCAGAAUCUUGGACAAUCUUGAUUUGAAUGAACAUAUCUCAGCCAUUGACGGGUUAUAUAUAAGGAUUGCCUUCCUCCUCUGACCAAGUUCUCUGCUACAGCUGAGAAUUUGAGAGCGUCUCCCAUGGGUGUCG
rnacentral:lncRNA from 1 species